rnacentral:Y_RNA from 1 species
GGCUGGUCCGAUGGUAGUGGGUUAUCAGAACUUAUUAACAUUAGUGUCACUGAAGUUGGUAUACAGCCCCUUACUGCUAAAUUUGACUGGCUUUAG